UCCUACGGGAGGCAGCAGUGGGGAAUAUUGCACAAUGGGCGAAAGCCUGAUGCAGCCAUGCCGCGUGUGUGAAGAAGGCCUUCGGGUUGUAAAGCACUUUCAGCGAGGAGGAAAGGUUAGUGGUUAAUACCUGCUAGCUGUGACGUUACUCGCAGAAGAAGCACCGGCUAACUCCGUGCCAGCAGCCGCGGUAAUACGGAGGGUGCGAGCGUUAAUCGGAAUUACUGGGCGUAAAGCGCAUGCAGGCGGCCAAGUCAGUCAGAUGUGAAAGCCCCGGGCUUAACCUGGGAAUUGCAUUUGAUACUGCUUGGCUAGAGUCCUUGAGAGGGGGGUAGAAUUUCAGGUGUAGCGGUGAAAUGCGUAGAGAUCUGAAGGAAUACCAGUGGCGAAGGCGGCCCCCUGGCAAGAGACUGACGCUCAGAUGCGAAAGCGUGGGGAGCAAACAGGAUUAGAUACCCUGGUAGUCCACGCCGUAAACGAUGUCUAUUAGGAGUCUGUGACCUUGAGUCGUGGGUUCCAAAGCUAACGCAUUAAAUAGACCGCCUGGGGAGUACGGCCGCAAGGUUAAAACUCAAAUGAAUUGACGG
rnacentral:rRNA from 1 species